rnacentral:lncRNA from 1 species
CAUCUCUUGUGCUUCUUUAUAUUACGAUAAAUGCUUAUUUGUUCCGUUUGAUAGCUUCAAAGGAUGCCAGCUUGCUUCUUGUUUAUUUGCUUGAGCUGGGGCACACCCCCUUCUGAUGUCUUUUGAGUUAACCAAAAAGUAGCAUAUUGUUGCCUGUUUCCAUUCUAAAAAUUUCUUUUUCAGACUUCUAUACUAACUAAAACUGAUUGCUUCAUGCUCAUUGUGUUUGAGCUAAGUAGAUGUACGUAAACUCAUCACCCAUGGAUAUUUGGGAGCAAUUUCCCAGAUUGACCAUACUUUCUCCUUAUACUGGUUACAUCUCUCUAAGCAAAAUCCUUGCUUUAUUUCAUUCAACAUCUUUAUCGUCCCAUCAAUUGUUACAGGAUCGCCAGAGACCAAACUUUCCAUGGCUGCUAAUGAUGUGAAAGUGUUAGUGGCAAGGACUGUUGGUUCAUCACUGAUCAACAUCCCAAGUUAAAUUUAUCGUCCCAUCAAUUGUUACAGGAUCGCCAGAGACCAAACUUUCCAUGGCUGCUUUCCUUGGUGAGCUGGUUCUUAAUAAUGAUGUGAAAGUGUUAGUGGCAAGGACUGUUGGUUCAUCACUGAUCAACAUCAUGAAACAUGGUAACAUGUCAUCAAGAGAGGCUGCUUUAAAAU